rnacentral:pre_miRNA from 1 species
GGUUGGCAAAAAAAAAGUUUGUUUGGGUUUUUCCAUAACAUCUUGCAGAAAAAAUCCAAACCUUUUCGCCCACCC